CUGAGACUAUCUGGUCCUAACUUAUACAAAAGAUAAACUGCUCUGCUCUCCUUUUAAGAUUUCUUAUUUUUCCUCCUCUAGUUGCAAAAAGACUAUACAGCUUUAUAAAGACAGUGUUCCUCUAGUUACAAACAUGUUCCAUCAUUCAAGACAAAAGUCAGUUAUGGUUUAAGUACCAAGUCUCUCUCUUGGCUGUAUCAA
rnacentral:lncRNA from 1 species